UGGGUUGUGGCUCAGUGGUAGAGCGCUUGCCUAACAUGCAUGGGGCUCUGAGUUCGAUCCUCAGCACCACAU
rfam:Ictidomys tridecemlineatus contig037261, whole genome shotgun sequence.